rnacentral:tRNA from 1 species
GAAAAGUUAGUUAAAACAUAACAUAAAAUUGUCAAUUUUAAAUUACUAUGAAUCAUAGUACUUAUCG